ACAAGUUGUGGAACUAUGUGUCCCAGACCAGUUGUGGAACUAUGUGUCCCAGACCAGUUGUGGAACUAUGUGUCCCAGACCAGUUGUGAAACUAUGUGUCCCAGACCAGUUGUGAAACUAUGUGUCCCAGACCAGUUGUGGAACUAUGUGUCCCUAUCCAGUUGUGGAACUACAGAAUGAGUGUUGGUGGAGCCAAAUAAAUUAUUAAAUAAAUAAACAAAUCAUAAUCUGUUGUCGCUUAUUACUUUUAAUUAAUAAAUUGCGCUUGUAGAACUGUUGUAUAAAAGCAAUAUCACACUCGAGGUCUUGCUGUUAUACUGAAUAUUAUUAUCUGCGGCCUCGUACCCACGACCGAAUCACAGCCGUGCUGAUAUUCAGCACUCCCUCUCAUGUAAUAUUGCUUAACAGACGUAAGUUCAUCACAUUAUCGAGCUACAUAAGCUAGGCCUAUAAAUAAAAAGUCAAAGACGGUCCAAAUCUUUGAGUCAUCUAACAACACCAUGAAUGAAGAUGGAAUGGAUGACACAUAUCCGGGCAUGGAUCAUAUAUCAACCGCAAUAUUAAAAGCUGCUAAUAUAAGCACAGACAUGCUGCCCAGCUUCUCUAAGGAGGAUUUACGUGAUCUCUUUCCCGGGCCAGAGCACUUCAGAAGGAGAACCAUUUGGAGAUUUACUCAUGGUGAAAAUGAGGUAAUGUUAGAUUUUGACAUUUGGGAGACAUUUAAUCUAACCAUGCAGAUAUUGUUUCCUGUUAUCAAAGUAGAAUUUCCUGGCCAUCAUUACAGUACAUGUAUCUAAAGAUGUAGUUGUUUUGGUGUUUGCUCUUAGGUUGUAGUGAGGGUUCUACCUGAAACUAAAAAAGGGGUCCUUAAAAGCGUUCUCCUAUGGGACAGCCAAAUAACAAUUUUUGGUUCUAGAUACACUGCAAAAAGUUAGCUCUUAAAAACAAGAAAAAAAACAAUACAAUUUGGGAAAUAUUACUUAAAAUAAGCAAACUUAUCUGCCAACAGAACAGGAAAAAUGUUGCGCCUAAACAGCAUUAUAUGAUACAUUUGCCAUCACAGAUAGUCAUUGGGUCCAAUGGUUAGCUACUGCUACUCUCUGUUCAUCAUAUAUGCAUUGUCACUUUAACCAUAUCUACAUGUACAUACCUCAAUCAGCCUGACUAACCGGUGUCUGUAUGUAGCCUCGCUACUGUAUAUAGCCUGACUUUUUACUGUUGUUUUAUUUCUUUACUUACCUAUUGUUCACCUAACACCUUUUUUGCACUAUUGGUUAGAGCCUGUAAGUAAGCAUUUCACUGUAAGGUCUACUACACCUGUUGUAUUUGGCCCACGUGACAAAUAAACAUUUUUAAGCAAUUGGCUUCCAAGCUAAAUUUUAAAAAUAUUUGCAAGUCUUUGAUCAGUCAGAACCAAAUAUAUGAGAGCUGCCAGAAUGUUGACAUGCACCCACUUUUUUCAAAUUAAAGGGAGAUGGGACCUGUAUCAGAGGUUAAAGAUCUACAAUAUUUAUGUGGAAAAUGAAGGGACUUCCUAGGUUUCAAUGAAGUAAACCAUGCUGUAUCAGUCAAAUAGCUUGUGAUAAAUUGUAAUAAAUACAUCAAAUCAAAUCAAAUGUAUUUAUAUAGCCCUUCGUACAUCAGCUGAUAUCUCAAAGUGCUGUACAGAAACCCAGCCUAAAACCCCAAACAGCAAGCAAUGCAGGUGUAGAAGCACGGUGGCUAGGAAAAACUCCCUAGAAAGGCCAAAACCUAGGAAGAAACCUAGAGAGGGACCAGGCUAUGUGGGGUGGCCAGUCCUCUUCUGGCUGUGGAGAUUAUAACAGAACAUGGCCAAGAUAUUCAAAUGUUCAUAAAUGACCAGCAUGGUCGUAUAAUAAUAAGGCAGAACAGUUUAAACUGGAGCAGCAGCACGGUCAGAUGGACUGGGGACAGCAAGGAGUCAUCAUGUCAGGUAGUCCUGGGGCAUGGUCCUAGGGCUCAGGUCCUCCGAGAGAGAGAAAAAAAGAGAAUUAGAGAGAGCAUAUGUGGGGUGGCCAGUCCUCUUCUGGCUGUGCCGGGUGGAGAUUAUAACAGAACAUGGCCAAGAUGUUCAAAUGUUCAUAAAUGARCAGCAUGMUCGWAUAAUAAMAAGGCAGAACAGUUMAAACUGGAGCAGCAGCACGGCCAAGUGGACUGGGGACAGCAAGGAGUCAUCAUGUCAGGUAAUCCUGGGGCAUGGUCCUAGGGCUCAGGUCCUCCGAGAGAGAGAAGGAGAGAAUUAGAGAAUGCACACUUAGAUUCACACAGGACACCGAAUAGGACAGGAGAAGUACUCCAGAUAUAACAAACUGACCCUAGCCCCCCGACACACAAACUACUGCAGCAUAAAUACUGGAGGCUGAGACAGGAGGGGUCAGGAGACACUGUGGACAUAACUCAGAAGUCCAUGAUCUUUGCCAAAGUACUGAAUGGUAAUAUGCCAGAAUUUGGACUGGUCAAAUACAUAUUUCUUGUUGAUU
rnacentral:lncRNA from 1 species